rnacentral:lncRNA from 1 species
AGGGAGAGGGAGGAUUGAAAUGACGGAUGCUUCUGCUUCAUCAAGGCGCAGCAAGGGAGGCUUUCCACCUAUGUCCCUGUGACUCUUACGGUGGUCUAGAUUCUGCCUGUCAUCGGUGCAGAGUGAGGAGCUUCUCUGCAGAUUCCACCUGUCACGCAAGUUCUAGGAAUUUCGCGCAUCCCACCAAGCUCUCUUCCUUUGAAAUGAUGCCCUACCCCGGCUCCUUAUUAAAUGGGCACAGCAUUAAUUAUGAACAAUGCCCUAGCCAAACCAGGAAUUGUAUGGAAUUUCAUACUUAUGGACUACAGGGUGACAUUUCAAUACAUGUCUAAAAUGUAUAAUGAUCAGAUCAAGCCAGGGAGAAGAUAUGUGGCAGGCAUCUUUAACCUGUGAACCCCACCCUGACUCCAGAUCGGUCACCUCACUCCCUUCAGCAGAGCCCAUGCCACGUGUCAACCUGUCUUCCAGGAGCAGCGAUGGCACCUCCUCUGUCUUAGUCUGCCCGGGCGUCUAUGAUGAAAUACUGCAGACUGGCCAGUUUAAAC